rnacentral:rRNA from 1 species
AUUGAACGCUGGCGGCAUGCCUUACACAUGCAAGUCGAACGGCAGCGGGCCUUCGGGUGCCGGCGAGUGGCGAACGGGUGAGUAAUGCAUCGGAACGUGCCAUUGAGUGGGGGAUAACGUAGCGAAAGUUACGCUAAUACCGCAUAUUCUGUGAGCAGGAAAGCAGGGGACCGCAAGGCCUUGCGCUCUUUGAGCGGCCGAUGUCAGAUUAGCUAGUUGGUGAGGUAAAGGCUUACCAAGGCGACGAUCUGUAGCGGGUCUGAGAGGAUGAUCCGCCACACUGGAACUGAGACACGGUCCAGACUCCUACGGGAGGCAGCAGUGGGGAAUUUUGGACAAUGGGCGCAAGCCUGAUCCAGCCAUGCCGCGUGAGUGAAGAAGGCCUCGGUUGUAAGA